GUCCCAUGGUGCCUUUGUAAUCAACUAACUUCCCUUUUGCCUGCUCUGUAGCAGUUCAGAUUAGGGAUCUAUGAAAUGAGAUGCUUGUCAGUGGUGCUGUGAGUUAAACCUUUUGCAAGACAUGUCUUAAAACCAACAUACAUGAUUUGGUAAAUCUGAAAGUCUGUUAGUCAUUAGAUACUGUGUUAUAUGACCCUUACUCAACGUGAACAAUAGCCUCACUUCACAGUUUGUGUGGGACUUUGGGGAGGAAGAUGCUGGAAAGGGCAAGAGGAGUGUGAAGUAUGACUCAGUAUGAAAAAUGAUUUCAGAGCUGGGCCCUGCUACGUUAAAGUUCAGAAAAAUAGUUCAUGAAAGAUAAGCCCUGUAAGGGCAGCUGGUGAGAUUCACCCGUUCACUACCAUUUUUGUUGUUGUUUUGAAGGAAAAAGUGAGUUUAAUAAGUGAAAUGUAGCUGACUUUCAUAGCAAUACUGGUGUUAGGAGAAGGAAGGAAAGUUCCAGACACAGUUCUAUUGACUUCAUAUUUAUUUCCUUCUGCAGAGUUAAAAGCAAAAAUUUAGAACUCCAAUUUUGCAAUCUCUUCCAAAAAGUCCUCUAGUAAGGUUCCGGAAAAGAUAUUAAACUGUGUGAUUAAAAGCAGUUCAAACUAAUCCAGAAAUGAAUUCAUGUUGCAUCCGAUCAUAGCUUUUGAAUAAUCAAAACUUUAGGCCUGCUCAGACUUUGCUUGUUCUAACUUCCAGCACUAAAGUAAAAUUAAAAGAGCAAACAGUAUUUAAAUGACAAAUAACAGCCAGUAAGCAAAUAGAGUAAUACUUGUAAUCAGCUGUACAAGUAUUAUCAGAUGCAUCAAUUCCUUUAAGUACUUUGGUGAAACUAUGCAUUGAGGAACAACAGUCAGGUAUAAUUUCAUGAUGCUUUGGGGAAAGCGUACAGAAAAUCUCAGAUAUCUAGACUGCAGAAGACCUACAAUAUAUAUAUAUAAUACAUAGUCUAGAUCUUACAAGAACAGCUAUUAUUACUGCCUUCCACAGCUUUGCUUUUAUUUUCCUCCACUUGAUGAUUUUAUGCUAUAGUGUACCAGCCAGUACAGUCAUCUGUAUUUAUGCAUAGCACAAGCACUAUUUCCUCACAUAUGACUGAGUUAUAUCCUGUAAGUGGUACAAGAACUCAAGUAGUUUUUCUGGAUUUGUUAUGUACUGAAUUAGUCUGUCAUUUGAUUGACACUUUUAAACCCUUGUCAUUUAGAAGAAAGCUUGUCUUAGAAAUAUGAAAGAUUAGAAAAUUGCAUCUAGGUAUGCCAGUCAUGUAACUAUAGAUCUGAUCGGUCAUCUGAAUAAGGAACAUUCAUUUGCUCCUAUUUACAUUUGUAAUUUAGAGAGAACUGAAAGGAAAGUGAAAAACAAAUGCUCUUGAUUCAAAAGUAUUAUUACAGUAUCAUUUUUUGUAUUUUUAUUCUUCCCCCUAAUUUAAUAGGUUGGUUCCCUUAGCUCUUAGCACAGUACUAUGUAGCUCAAUAUUGUUAUUUUGAGUUGAAUAACAGUGUAAAUGUCAUCAAAAUCCUGAUCUGUCCUUAAAACAGUAUCAUAUUGGUUUGGUCUCUUGUAAAAUAUUUUCCUCCCUAAUUGCCUUUUCAUUCAAUCAGAAGACUUACAGUGGUAACCAUGGCACAGCUGAAAAACAAUUCAUCGUAUCAGUCACAGACUCUCAUAAUAAAGCACCUUAAUAAGACCAAGUUCUGUACUUCUUGAAGGCACAAGAUAAAUUGGGUUCAUAGUCCAUUAUUUGAACAAGGGUAUCUGACUUAUGGCAAAUCUAUCUGAAAGAGUAUUGUAGAAUUGUAUUUUAUCUUUAAGAAAUGUGUUUUCUAAAAGUAAGAUAUUUACUUCUGUUGCAGUAAAGGAUUUAAACAGAAGAAAUCUUUCUAAUGUUUGCUGAAUCAUGUGAGAAUGAUGAGGUAGUAGAGAGCCAUACAUCAAACAACAUAAUGUUUUAUUUUAUUUCAAGAGGGAAGGCUGAGUACAGAAUGCCCAAUGGUUUUGCCAAGAGUACACACUCUCUUCCUUAUUUACCAAGCUAGAUAUACCAUGAAGAAGGUGACAGGCCCUCUUAAACUUUUUCUGCUGCUGAAAUUUACAGAUGUGCACAUUUACUUUUUCUUUUGUAAGGAACAUCAGAAUGUCAGUGCCAGAGACUGCAUUUUUCCAGCUCUCUAGAGCAGCCAUGGUGUAAAGGGAAGGAAAGCAUCUAUUUUUUUCUGCACCUACCCCAUCAGUUUGUCCUCUUUAUGAAGUAAAGAGCUGGCAAUGGGUGUAAAGAGAACUCUGGCUUUCUUCCUAAGCUUGUUUUUUGUUUCCUUGCUCUAUAGGAACAGUUAACAGGUAACACAGGUAGGACUUAUUUCGGUAGCCAUUUUCUAAUUAGGGGUCUUCUACAUCAAGUAUUAAACAAACCAACACCAAGAACUCAUUCUCUGUGUGCCUGUGAGGCAUCAUCAGGCAACUACUGAGUUUUACUGGAGGAGAUUCAGACUUACAGUUUAAUAUAUGAAAAAUGCUAUACUGCACUGAGAUUUCCUACACAAGUUCCUUUGGCCUUGGUUCAAAUAACAAAAUCAGAUUUAAUCUUCCCAUGUAAAUACUUGCUCCUAAUCUUAACCAGAAACAUCAAGAUGUUUACGACUUAGCCAAUGUUUUAUUGAUAGUUCCCGAUCCACGAAUAAGAUACAGAUAAGAUUUGAGCUGGCCUGGGUGUCUCUUUAUAAAAAGUUUCUUAAGAGAUCUUAAGAAAUGAGACAUUUUUGCUUCUACCUUACCAUUUCCUUCAUUUCAGUGCUUUGGAGUUUGUGCCUGUAAUUUUAAACUUCUGCUUUAUGAAUAGGGCUUUUUCACAUAGAAAUAACAGGUCAGGUAUGUUGAGUGGAAAAAAAAGUGGUUAUUGUAAGAUUGUGGCUCUCUAUUCUUGCUAUGUUUUCUAAUACUCUAUUUCUGUAUAUGAUUUUACUUUCUGUGUACAGAACAAAUGAACUGUGCUCAAUCACUCACAGUCUCUUUGAUCGUAGUGAACAGGCAGCCUGUAGAAUGACUGCAAAGUCACUGAAGUGAGUUUGAGACUGAGGAACAAGAGUAAGGUGAGCCGUUAAACCCUACCUUCAUUUGAGGCUACUGUAAGUAGGGUUCUGUAACCAUCAGAAUGUUAACAGCAGUUGAGUUCAACUGUACAAUUUCUCCCUGUCAUGGAUACAGACUGUCUACAUAGCCAGGUGGAGACAGUGGACCACUUAAGUCCUUCUGGUUAAAGCAGCUUUGAUUCAGAGCAAUAGAUGUGAUGUUGUAGGCAGUUACAGUGAUUUUUAGAAUACCUGCACCAGAAGUGAUAGAUGACAAAGCAAGGAGACCAAGGAAAGUCCUCACAGAUGUUUCUUGGAACCGUUAAUAUUGUGAUUGGGUGUCUCUGUCCUCUUGCUUGCUUGAAUAAGGAAUAGUUCAAUUCUUUUUUAAAUACUAGUCAAGAUGUUGUGCUGCUAACAAACCAGCAAAGUUUUGUGGCUCUGUGAUUGACAUGACAUUACUGAUGCAAGUGAGUAUUUUACAAUAAUAAAAAUUUUACUGAUAUCCAAUAUCAAUGGUAUGAUUAAACACAAAAUAAUAUAUAUGCUAUCAUGAUGGAAAUAGAGGAAAUAUUAUCUCUGGGAAAAUAUAUGCUUGGAAAAAAAUGCCACUAGUGUUGGUUUUCCAUCAAAAACUUAAAAAACAUUAUAUUUACCAUAUUGAUAAUACAGACCUCAUCUUAUGCUUAAAUAACAUCCUGCUGAGCUCAUUUAUAUUGACAGAAUGACUAUCAUAAAUGGCAGGAUCAUUAUCACAGCAACAGUUGAAUGUAGAUCGAGCUCUGUUAGAGCUAUCCUUCUGUUUUAUGUGCAUGUGAAUGUUGAUACGGUUGGCCUCUAGUCUAGAGGCUUAAAAACUGAAAAUAGUAGUACUAGAUAGACUUUAUUUGCUUGUUUAUAUAAGAUACAUGUUUCUCUAGGAUAAGGCAGUGAUAGAAAUUUUGGGGAUGAUCUGUAUUCAGAGAUAUGAAUGAUUGUAUUUCAUCAUAUUACUAGACCGUUCUGAAUAGAGGUUAGGCUUGCCCAAACAGCAAAAACAAAGAAAUUGUGCUGUUUCAAUUCUGAAUCCAAAGCUGUCUGAUUUCUGAGUCCUGAGAUUGUAAUUUUCUUCUCAGUUUUUCUUCCCUAACCUUUGUUGUAUUUUGAAUUUUCCAUGUCUGGCUUUACAUCCAAGGUUUCCUAAUAUUGGAAGUUUGAGGAUCUUGGGAGUAUGUUUCUGUUGAGGACCUUUUCUUGAAAUAAAUUUAUCACUCAUAGCUGGGUGGACUCUGGUGCAGCUGAAGUGUCUGAUACUAAGGCAAAUGACACUGCUUGAAAAUGAUGGCCAUGAAAUGUAAGUACACUGCAAAUCACUCAGCUGCAAAGUCUUGGAAUAAAAGCACUGCAGAACUGAUGUAUGGACUGAUGCUGCCAUUUAAUGUGGUUUCCCAGCAAACCUUUCAUAAAAUUCAUGACUGUAGCUGACCUCUGUUACUGUGUUCCUCUUAGGGGGAAAAAAAAAGAGCUAUAACACAGCUCUCGAAGGCAGUGCACUGAAAAGUGAUGCGAAGCAAGGUGAAAGGAAUCAUGUUCACUUCACCACAGACAGUAGAGGUGUGCCUGUAGUAAAACAGUUGAUUAAAUGUCACAGCAUAUUCGACAGCCUUCCAGGUUGACAAGGUUCUCUUCUGACUGGCUUCAAAGUGGGAGGCUCAUUCAAAUCCCAUUACUCGUGAGAAGUCCAAAAUUGCUUUACACUUAAGAAAGUAAAAGCAAAAUCUGCAGUCGGUUGCCACCAACAAACAUACAGCUUCUUUACAUUAUUGUUACUAUAACAUAUGAAACGUGAUGCUGGUUAUACUGUUUUGCUCUUUUAUUAGAUACAGUUAUUUGGCUUCUGGCUUUUGUGUGGCUGUGAGUGCUGAUGUUUCCUGAAAGCAGCCAUUCUGGUCCAUCCUAGAAAGUCUUAGCUUCUUGUUCUGUGCUACUUUUCAUGUUCAUCAUAGUUUAAAGACAAGGGACAGUUGCUGAUGUUAUAUAUUAAGUUAAAGAAUGCCACAGCAAGCUGAAUCAGAGAGGCUAAGGGACUGAUCAUCAUGUCUGAGUCACUUCCAAAGAGAGUGGAUUGGAGCGCAGUGGGGGCAAAAAUAACAGCUGGAGGGAUUCUGGUACCAUGAUAAUGUGGAAAGAAGCAAAUUGUAUCUAAACAGACAGAUGCCAUCUAGAUGGCACAUUUUAAAGAGGAGACAUGCUGAAGAAGUCCUUGUUUUCCUCCUGACUCUGUGUAAAAAGGUAAAUGCAAAUCCAACCCCUAUUCCUACUUUCCUAUCUUUCAACUUCCUACCUUCCUCAAAGGAAGUUCCUUUAAAAUAUGAGAGCUGAGAAGACAUAAUCUUUCAUGCUGUGAUUUGCUUAUUUUGUAAAAAACAACUCGCCUCAAAGGAAAGUUAUCAGUUACUAGUACACACUGUUCUUGCUAUCACCAACUAAAAAUAAUUUAGCUCUUUCAUUCCCUCAGAUCACAUUAGUAAACAAAUCUGUGCAUAAUGGUUUUGUCCAUGUAUUAAUCUAUACCCACCUGAUGAAAAUAUCUUGUGAAUAGAAAUUGAGGAGACUGUGUUGCUCUUUAUCACCUCUGUGAUUUUGAUACCCUCACUAUCAGUAGAGCACGCCACAGUGUAUUUGAUUUGUAGGAGGUGAUGUAUUAUUCCCCAGCUUCUGUGGCAAAGUUGAGAACAAUUGCUUUCUUCUCCUUACCUCCAAGUUCCCUCUUUUAUUGCUUAUGUAUACGUGUGUAUAUAAUGAGGAAGGGCAGGAAGAAGAUGCAGGAAAGAGUGUGUUUCCUGAGAGGUAAUGAAUGCAUCUUCUCCUAGGGCAAUAGAGUUUGCCUAGUGAACAAAGUGCCUGAACAAUUUUUUGCAGAUCAGCUACCAAAACUGUUCUCCCUGGUAAUGAUGUAGUAAUACACAGUGGAAGCUGAAAGUCAGAGCUUCCACUACUCCAUCCCAUUCCCAGCCCAAACAAGCUGUACAUAUAGUAAUACAGUGAGAUAUUGUAAAAAAUAUAUAUAUACUAUAUAAUUAAUUUGUUUUAUUCCUGUUUUCUCUGGGCUAUAUACUCCUUGACUGUGGCUUUAUUUACUCCAAAGGUAUUCUCACUUUGUAUCUAUUUUCUUUAACUUGUAGCUCUAAGGUCAUGUCUAAGUACAAGAUGUUCCUUCCAGAGAUGAAUUAUGAAUGGUAACAACUGGGCUGUACAAAUGCUUCUUUUCCUCUCCACUAUUCUGAAAAUCUAGCAUGGAGAAAGAAGUCUCAUUCAGCUUAAUCUCUCUAAAUUCAGAUUCUGAGGUUGAUGUCAUUACUUUGAUGUUUGAGUAAAUUACAGUAGAACAGCUGCAAGGAGAAGCAAAGCCAUGCUCAAAUUAUAAUUCUCCGGGAUGAGAUUUUUUUUUUUUUUUUGUAGCCACUAAAAUGUAAGGAAUAAGAUUCCAUUUAUUUUUAAUUUUGUGAGAUUAUUUUUCAAUAAUUUCAUAUCAUUGUUUCUAUUAAAAAAUAAUGUUUUGAUUCACAGACAGUGUUAGGGACUGUGCAUCAUGCUGGCAUAAUCUGUACUGUACCAGGACAUUAAUCGAAGUGUAAGAGUUAGGACUACUGUUCUAAAUAUUUGUUUCGUGAAGACAGAGGGUUUUAACAUCCAUUCAGCACAAGUGAUUAAUAGAAAUUGAAACAGAGGAGUACCACACUCAGCAGAUCCUCUUUCUUUUCUUUCUUCUGGACAGUAUAAAUGUGCUGGUGGUGCUAAAUGCCUUCAUACAUAAGUGAGUACAAAAAGAUUAGUCUUUAAUUAUUUCUGGCAUAUGUCCUUUAAAUUCAAAGUCUGUAAAUUGCAAUGGGCAAAGGGUAAUAUGUCUUAACAGGUUACACCUCCCAAAGGAUUUGUUGAUUGACAUCAAAAUUGUUUCCCCUCCCUCUUUUCUGACUGACAGAAUGGCAGGUGUGAAGUGAUGGCAGUGUGCUGUAAUAAUGUGUCAAAAGACCUUAAAUCAAGACUAAUGUGGCUUCAGUGAUAAGCUCCCAAACAUUUGUAUGGCAGAAAAGGGGACUGUAGGGCAGAUUCAUCUUGGGAUUAUUAUAUCUUUGCAUUCUCUGAAAGUGCUUUUUAGUUAGGGUACUUGGAAGGUUAUGGGGUAAAAGUUCUAUUAGUAUUUUUUCUUAUGAAGUGGUAAUCAGGAGAGACAAACAUUUCCAUGCUUGCUACUCUAACAUGAAGAACUUAUUUGCAUCUAGUGUUUUCUUUGCACAGCAAUCUUUUAUUAACAGUGCAAUCUAGAACUUGGAAUAGAAAAAAUACACUUGUUUCAGCAACUGCCCUGCCUUAGAACAAAGCACAACAUUUAAUGCUUGAAGAAACACUAGAAAGGCAGUAAGCAUAAAAAAGGGUGAAUACUGCAGAGAGAUUCAUAUAAGCCACCUCUGAGGUGUAGUUUGUACAGUAUUUCUUAACAUACAGUGAAAAAGAACUCUGAGUUGAAGGGAUGAUGAGCUCAUUUUACUCUAAAAGAGUGGAUCUUUGCAUACGUAAAUAUAUAUUAAAAAAAAGAACAAAAUGUCACAGCAGCUGCUGUACUCCAAUAAAAUGGAAAAAAUAAAAUAAAAACAACAACAAAAAUCACAAGAAAGCCAGAGACCAUGUAUGAAGUCCAACAAUGGUCUGAAUUCUGCCCAAGGGCAGAGAGACUUUCUCUGACCUUCCCAAUGAUUCAGAUCUGUUUCUAAUUAUGAGGGUACUUGAGAGGAGUACUUGGGAGUACCAAAUGCAGGUUUUUGUGUGCAAAAUUCAAAAUGCUUUUACACAUUUUUACAGUGUCUCUCAAGACAAGAGAUCUUGCAUUUCUUUUACAGGUUUAGCUAGAAUGUUAUGAAUUUUAAUGAGGAAAAAAUGGUAGUCCUGUUGAUUAUUUCUCUUCUUUGGAAAGCAAUUUUUGUACAUUAAAACUGUAGGGCAUUCUAAGAUAAUCAUUAUCCAGAGAUUUUCAUGUUGAAAAUUUAUAGAAAACAUGAGAUAGGUUAUUUGUACUGUCUAUUUAAGUAAAAGCUUUUCUAUAUUAAUAAAUGCAAGUAUAUAUAUAAUAUUUAUCUGUAUAAGCAAACAGGAAAGCCAUUUCAUGAUAGGUACAAGGUGGAAAGACAGGGAUUUUUCCCUUUAAGUUUACUGGAGUUCAUUGAGGAUAAUUUCCUGAUCAGACCAACCGGAGGUGAAGUGUUACUGGACCUGGUGCUCUCCGAUGCAGAGGAUAUCGAUAUCAUCAAAGAGAUUAAGAUUAGAGGCAGCCUGGGCUAUAGUGGCCAUGCCCUGAUUGAGUUAAUGAUCUCAAGGAAUAUGGGCCUGGCAAAGGAGAGAGUCAGAACACUGAACUUCAGGAGAGCAAAUUUCUGGCUGCUGAAGGAAUUAUUGUAUGAGAUUCAUGUUGGAUAUUAGGAACAAUUUAUUCUCAGAAAGAGUAUGAUGGCUUUGAAACAGGCUGCCCAGGGAAAUGGUGGAGUCACCGUCCCUGGAGAUGUUUGAGAAAAUGGUAAGUGUGUCACGUAGGGACAUCUUUUAGUGGGCUCAGUGAUCUUAGUGGUCUUCUCCAGCCUUUAUGAUUCUAUGACAUCACCUAAUAAACAGUCCUUAGGGACAGAGGAAUGAAGUAGAGCUGGGAGCCCUUUAAGGACACCUUUCUGAGAGCACAAUAGCUCUCCACCCCCAGCAUAAGAAAUCAAGCAGAGGAGCCAGGAAACCAGCAUGAUUGAGCAAGGACCUGUUGGUCAAACUGAAGAAAAGAAGGAAAUUUACAGGCAGUGGAAGCAGGGAUGGGUGGCCUGGGAAGAAUACAGGGAUGCCGUCCAGACAUGCAGAGAUGGGAUCAGGAAACCCACAGUGGAGAUGGAACUAAAUUUGGUGAGGAAUGUGAAAAAUAGUAAAAAGGGAUUUUACAGAUACAUUGGCUCAGAAGAGACAGACAAAGGAGAGUGCACUCCCUCUGAUAAAUAAGAAGGGAGAACUGCCUUCAAUGGACACAAAGAAGACUGAGGUACUCAAUGAGUUCUUUGCCUUGAUCUUCACUAGCAGUCAGGCUUCUCAUGCCUCUCAUGUCCCUGAACCUCUAGAUGUGGGGUCAGGGGAAGAAAAAUCCCUCCCACUGUAAGAGCAGACCAAGUCCAAGACCACUUUGUGGGUACAAGCCCAUGGGGCCAAAUAACAUGUAUCCCAGCAUCCUGAAGAAACUGGCUGAUGUGGUUGCCAAGAAACUCUCCAUCAUAUUUGAAAAGUUCUGGCUGUCAAGUGAAGUCCCUGGUGACUGGAAAAUGGAAACAUAACUCCCAUUUUCUAUAGUGGAUUGAUGGCAUCAGUGGACAAAGAGCAAUUGAUGUCAUCUACCUGGGCAUAUGUAAGGCCUUUGACAUGGUCCUGCACCUCAUCCUUGUCUCUAAAUUGGAAGAUGAAGAUUUGAAGGCUGGGCUAUUCAAUGGAUAAGGAAUUGGCUGGAUGGUCACAGCCAAAGGGUCAAGAUGAUCAAGGGCUCUAUAUGCAGGUGGAGGCCAAUGAUGAGAGAUGUCCAUCUUGAGACUGGUGCUUUACAACAUCUUUAUCAUUGACAUAGACAGUGGGAUUGAGUGUACCCUCAGCAAAUUUGCUGAGUGGAGACGUUGACAUGUUGACAUAAUAGAAGGAAGGGAUGCCAUCCAGAGCAGUCUGGACAGGCUUGAAAAGUGGGCAGACGAGAAUCUAAGGAGGUUUAACAAGGCCAAGUGCAAGGUGUUGCAGCCUGUAUCCUAGGCUGCAUCAUAAGAGGCCAGCAGGACAAGGCAGGUCCCCCUCUACUGUGCCCCUGUGAGGACCAAUCUGGAGUACUGUGUCCAAGCCUGGAGUCCCCAGCACAAGAAAGAUGCAGAGCUGUUGGAGUAGGUCCAGAAGGGGGCCACGAAGAUGCUUGGUGGGUGGAGCACCUCUCUUGUGAACAAAGGCUGAGGGAGCUGGCUUGUUCAGCUUGGAGAAGAGAAGGCUGUGGGAAGACCUGAUUGCAGCCUUCAAGUACUUGAAGGGAGAUUAUAAACAGGAGGGAGGCUGACUUUUCACAUGGCCUGAUAAUGAUAGGACAAGUUGGAAUGGCUUUUAAGUAGAAGACAGGAGAUUUAGGUUAGAUGUUGGGUAGAAAUUUCUCCCUCAGAGAGUGGUGAGGUACUAGAAUAUUUUGCCCAGAGAAGCUAUGGAUGCCCCAUCCCUGAAGAUGUUCAAGGAGAGGUUGAAUGGGACCCUGGGCAGCUUGAUUUGGUGGGUGGCAGUCCUGCCAGUGCCAGAGUGUUUGGAAAUAGAUGAUCUUUAAGGUUCUUUUCAGUGUAAGCCAUUCUAUGAUCUACACAAGAUGAAAAGGAUGGAUGGAAAAGCAUCAGUGUUUUACAAAUGAUGUCAUGGUUGACACUGAAAUGUGCUGGCCAGCACAAUCCAGUUGGUGCUGAUUAAACAUAGAAAUACUUUGCCAGUGUGGAGGGUGUACAAAGGUUAAAUUAAAAACUCUGAGUACAAACGGCAACAGAGGCUAAUUAUUUCUUCGGCCUUAGACAACAUCACUGUGGGUAAAAGGUGAACCAUCCUGGCAGGACAGGUGUGAGAUACUUCCAAUAUUUACUCGUGUACAACUCCUGACCUUUGAGGAAAUAGAGGUUUUAGGUUAUCAGGACUCUUCAGAUAAAUUAAACUGAAGAUAAAACAAUUUAAGAGCUUUAUUUAACACUUGUAUGUGCAGUAUCUUGUUCCAGGCUCAAACCAGCCAAAAUAAUUGGUCUUUCUUUGUCUUGAAAGAAGCAUAUUUUUGUGUUUGUUGUUGUUGUACAAUGUGAGAUUAUUAAUUGUUAGAUUGUCUCUCUUUUUAGUAAAAGUAUUACAGAAAUGCACUAUGGUCAAGUUUUAACUUCCCCCUAAGCAGCCUUUUCAGGAAAUGGUUCUUUUGGAGAAGCUGGUAAAAUUUGACAAUAAUCUUAAAACUCAUUCUUUCCCUCUGAAGCUUUACUUAAUCCCCAGGAAGUAAAUCUAAUCACUGAACUGAGAAAUUGAGCCUUUAGAUAUGUUUUUAACUACACAUCUUAGUGAAACUUAAGUGUCACUUCUAUGGGGUUGGUUGCUUGUGUGUUUAUGUAUACUAAGAAAGCAAAAAAAUGUAUUUUUCAUGCUUAGAGAUUUAUUUUUCUAUGCUUAUUUCAAAAUAGGACUGGCAUAUAGAGACUUUUUUUUUUCCAUUACGAGAACUACAGUUAGCAGGCUUUCUUCUUUAGAUGACUAAUGACCACCACAAGUGUCCUCACAGUAGUGAAGCUUGUUUCUGGAGCCAGAAAAUACUUGGUUUUGCUUACAAAGACAGUGUGUGCCUCUUAAGUUGUGUUUAUCUUUAUUUGAAUUGUUUCUUUAUUCUUUUCUUUCUUUAAAGACAAUUCACAUCUCUGACUUUUGACACAGUCUAACCAUUGCUGUGGGGUGAGGCAACAGAAAUUUCCCAAAUCUAGGCAUUCACUUUGCAUUAAUUAAAUCUCUGUGUGCUUCUCUCAGCUCCCCUCUCUUCUAAUCCUAGUGAUUUUUGUGCUUUCUAAAAUCAAGCUGUUUCAAAGAUGAAUAAAUCUGUAUGUCAAACCCACCCUCUUCCCCACAAAUACACAUUUGAAUAUGAAUGUCAAGGCCUGUGCACAUGCUUAGUUUCUGUAUGAGAGCAUUCUUCCUAUCUGGAGAAGCGAUUUGACUUCUCUGUAUUGCAUUAGACCACUGUCAUUAAUGACAGAGGUGUCAUUUUGAUGUGAUCUGUGAGGCAGUAGAAGCUUUGAAGUUGAAAGAUAGAAUAGACAUGGAUAAAUUGUGCUCUGAGUAUGCUUCUAUUGCACUAUUAUUGCUGGCAAUUAUUUUACCAAGUGACACGUCUGAUAAAAAGUCAUCCGCCUUGCUAUGGAAAGAAAUCACAGUUCGCUGAAGCACAUGGUAGAUCUGUCGAUUUUAAAGCCUGACAAAAAGCUUAUUAGUUUUGGCCUGAUCAUUCUGCACCAAUCUUGAACUCCUUUACAAUUGUUCUCCCAGUUCCCUUUGUUUUCAGUUAGUUUCCUUUUCUGAGAUAACACUUUUUCUUUAUUUUAGUGUUUGACCAUUUGCUAUCUAUCUUCUCCCCCAUACUUCUUUCCCCAGCACAAGCUUUGCUAAUGAUGUUCCUCACCCCUCCCUUAAAUGUCUUGAGCAAUAUUUAUUUCCUCGUUGGUCUCAUAAAGUGGUAUUUUUACAUUUUUUUUUUAAUCCACAGAGCAUGUGAAGUCUACCUUCUACAUAAAAAUACCAGCAGAGCCCAGCUGUUUUACUACAGAACUCCACCACUGUAAAAAGCGAUUCAUUCUUAAUGGAGCAAUCCUUCUGUUGUGCAUUUCUAUUUUAGCCCAUAUGAGGAAUUUGCAUUCCUGAAAUAACAACAGAGAUCAUCAUGUAUUUUUGCCCAGGAAAGCAACGGCAUCCACAACAUUUUGCUCCUUUUUGUGGGAAUGCCAGUCAUGACCAGAAGAAUUAAUACAACUCCGGAAGUGGCCUUCAGAAAGAUUCAUCCAGGGACAUUGCUUCAGAUAAUAAUAGGUCUUGGCUCUUCAAACAAAUGAACACAGAAGUGAAUGCUGGAGUUGAGCAUAUACUGAAUGUAAAGAGAGAGUUGAAUGUAUUUCACUAUCAACCCAUUGACAGCAGAGGAGUCUCCAGGUGACCACAAGGAGCCUCAGACCCUGCUCCAGGUUUAGUACUGAAAAGCCUUCCAUAAGUAUGCUCCUUCUUCUGCAGGAGACAGACUGAUUUUUUUCAUGUAGAAGUUGUACUAAAGGUUUUUGUUUGCUUGCUUUUAAUUUUAGAAAAAUAUCUAGAGUGCAUACUUUUACCCACAAGUGAGUGAGUUGCAACCAUGGUAGUUUUGGCUGAGAGCUGACUGUGAUGCUGCUCAUACUGUGUUCCUUGCUUGUCAUACCUGCAUGAGAUACAGUAAAUUCUGCAACUGUGGUUAAGGGGGAAGAUUGUACUGAUGUUCAGACAUUUAGUGGGACUCUGACCUAUUUUAUACAUAUAUAUAUAUGUCUGUGUGCAUAUAUAUAUCACUGAAUGUUUUAGCUCUGUGUUUCCAAAUAAGAAACUUUGUCAAAAGGUGGAGAAAGCAUCAGGAGUAUCAGUUGUGAGAUGGUUUUCUGUUUUAUUUUUUCCCCACACUUUCACAAGACAAUUCUCCAUGAGCCUUUCCUAGAGCAGUACUGAAAUAAAAGUAAAGUUCACUGAUCAAAUAUUCCAAAUUUUUCUCUUCUCUUUCCCUUCAUCAGUGAAACUACAUUGAAUCAAUCUGUAAAAAAUGCCAGAUUCUAAUUUUCUAAUCAGUGUGCCUUGUCUGCUCUGAGACUAAACAGAUCGGCUGAAGCUUUAACAGAAAUGAGUAUUUAAUAAUACUCUAAUAUUUUCACAGAAAGGAUACAAAUUGAAAGGUGAUAACAGAUAUCUGACAUCCAAUGAUGCUCAACUGUCUUGAGGUCUGAGACAAGUUUUAGUGUGUGAGUGCUCUAAGUGUAUUGUAGUUCUCUCUUCUCUCCCUUGCAUGCUAUUAAGGGAAUAUUCAAAGUAAUUUCUGCCAAAAAUAAAUUUGAAUUUUACCUGGAUAUAUUGUUUUCUUGUUACAUUAGGUUUUAGUGCUAUGGAAGGGGCGAAGGGUGUGAAUAAUCAUAUAUAAGUUUCUAUUAAAGUUUUAAGUAAUAAUUUUUUAUUUUUAUUUCUUAUAUAUGAACUUGUUUGCAAGAUAAUAAACUGUCUGGAUUCUCUACUUUCACUUCUUGGAGUACAGCAAGUGGGAAUUUUCAAAGCAGCAAACAGGAAGGGACACGCAACAAGGAAUUUUUGAGUCUGGAACUUCUGAGUAAUGACAGGGGAAGGACAGAAUUGGGAAGACUGACAAUUGUUAAUCAGCAAUGAAGUUUGUAAGGAUUCAGUGCACAGAUGGAAGGCACUUUACAGAAGAAAACUGUGGGCAACUAGAGAAAGAAAACCUGGGGUUUUACCAUUAAGUGCUUUUAUUGUCAUAUUCAGAAUCUGUACUAAUAUUGGCUUCAGCAUUACUCUGACUUACUCUUUCCCUAGAAGUGCAAAGAGGAAUGUAUCUAAUAUAGGAAUUGUACCCAGUGCUAGCUUAUCGGCUGGAACAAUCCUCAUUCCACCCCAGUUCUUCUUUCCUCCACUCAAAUACCAAUGAAGUUUUUUGUAUGUUUUGUUUGUUUGUUCAUUUUUUUAUCCUCAAAAGAAUUACACAUGAGUUCACAUUAAUUUAUCAAGACUACGGAGGAUGCUGAUAUAGGGCUGCUUACUGUAGGAAUUUUGCUCAUUAAAGUAUCUUGAUACCUUAUGACAUGCCCAGAAUAUGCUUCUGAAGUAUGAAUCUCUUUACGUAAGAAAGUAACAAAAUAGUUCGCUUUCAGACUUUUAUGUAAGAAACUCAACAAGGAGGAGACAAGGCACACAGCCAAUGCAUCUUCUGUUUUUAAAAUUUCCCAUCUACUCAAGCAGCAGAAUUAGCAAUCAUUGAGUGGUGGGAGAAAGUACCUGAAAAAAUAAUUUUUCAUUUGUAAAAUAUAAACUCACAGUUAAGUGGCAUCAUAAAACACAGGAGUGUUUUUUCCUACUUAAAUGAAGCAUAUCUCUUAUACCUUAUGAUAAAAACUACCUCUGUUGCAAACCAACGUUAUAAAAAAUUGUUAUUUUCUUUAAAUGUGGAAUAAAGCUGAAGACGUUUUCCUUUCCUUUGCCUUGAUCUGAGUGGGUCUCCUUUUACUCUGAACUUUAUAAAAGACCUUGUUGAUUUUUCUGCUG